GGGCCUGUAGCUCAGUUGGUCAGAGCGCACGCCUGAUAAGCGUGAGGUCGGUGGUUCAAGUCCACCCAGGCCCA
rnacentral:tRNA from 2 species